rnacentral:rRNA from 1 species
UACGUAGGUGGCAAGCGUUUGUCCGGAUUUACUGGGCGUAAAGAGCGCGCAGGCGGUCGUCCAAGUCGCGUGUGAAAGCCCCCGGCUCAACUGGGGAGGGUCACGCGAUACUGGUCGACUCGAAGGCAGGAGAGGGUAGUGGAAUUCCCGGUGUAGUGGUGAAAUGCGUAGAUAUCGGGAGGAACACCAGUGGCGAAGGCGACUACCUGGCCUGUUUCUUGACGCUGAGGCGCGAAGGCCAGGGGAGCAAAGCGGG